rnacentral:rRNA from 1 species
AGCAGCCGCGGUAAUUCCAGCUCCAAUAGCGUAUAUUAAAGUUGCUGCAGUUAAAAAGCUCGUAGUUGAAUUUCGGGACUAAUAUGUCGGUCGUGCCUCGGUACGUACUGGUAUUUUUGGUUUCUCCCUUCUGACGAACCUUGAUGUCAUUAAUUUGGUGUCUUGGGAAAUCAGGACUGUUACUUUGAAAAAAUUAGAGUGUUUAAAGCAGGCUCACGCUUGAAUACAUUAGCAUGGAAUAAUGAAAUAGGACGUUUGAUUCUAUUUUGUUGGUUUCUAGGAUUGACGUAAUGAUUAAUAGGGAUAGUUGGGGGCAUUAGUAUUCAAUUGUCAGAGGUGAAAUUCUUGGAUUUAUUGAAGACUAACUACUGCGAAAGCAUUUGCCAAGGAUGUUUUCAUUAAUCAAGAACGAAAGUUAGGGGAUCGAAGACGAUCAGAUACCGUCGUAGUCUUAACCAUAAACUAUGCCGACUAGGGGAUCGGAUGAUGUUAAUUUUUUUAAUGACUCAUUCGGCGCCUU